rnacentral:tRNA from 1 species
ACUUGAAUAGCUUAUAAUUAGAGCAUAACACUGAAGAUGUUAAGGAGGUAUUUUUACUUUUAAGUA